AACGCACCUUGCGCUCCUUGGUAUUCCGAGGAGCAUGCCUGUUUGAGUGUCGUGAAAUUCUCAACCUAUCUGGCUUUUUCAAGUUAGUUAGGCUUGGACUUUGGAGGUUGCUGGCUUCUCAGAAGUCAGCUCUUCUUAAAUGCAUUAGCAAAGUCUUUGCUGACCAUCUUUGGUAUGAUAAUUAUCUAUACCAUCGAGAAUCAGCUUUCCAUCUUGGAAGGGUUUUGCUUCUAAUCGUCUACAUAGACAACUUGACCAUUUGACCUCAAAUCAGGUAGGACUACCCGCUGAACUUAA
rnacentral:misc_RNA from 1 species